rnacentral:tmRNA from 1 species
GGGGGUGUACUAGAUUCGACGGGUAUCUGUUGCCGCUUGGGAGCAAGUGUCGGUUGGUCAGGCCGACUGAAAUAGGACCAAAAAAAUAAGCAACAACAAUCAAGUUGCCUGGGCUAACGCUUAGUCCACUGCGCCUUUUGUGUUUCCUAUGCGCAAAAGGACCGCAGUCAACCCAUAGGAUGCGGCAAAAGGGGCGCGGUUCGUCCGCUUUUGCUUAAGACACACGAACCAACCGCCUGUGUGCUGUUUCGCGCUUAACAGGCGGGUCUUUAGCGAAACUAAACUUGUAGAGCCCGAGAGGAAAAGAUGUUCGGACGGGGGUGCGAAUCCCCCCACCUCCACCA